AAGAUACAAGCCUGGUUUUAUUUAUGUUCCCACUGGCUCAGCCUUAACAUGAUUCCACACGGAAGCAGACCAUAUUAUGGAGCCAGCUGGAAGGGUGGAAUCCUGCCUGUUCUCAAAAGACCACAGCAGGCAGAUUACUGUGCAGGAGAACUUCUUCAUCUGGUUGGGAAAAGCAGGGGCAAGAGUUCUACCCACAGGGGACACCUAUCAAAGGGAGGAACUCCUGGAGCUGACUGAGAUACAGGCUUAAGAUAGCAGCCUACAGGUAAUGGGAUUGAUGCCUCCUAACCAGUGAUUUUCCCAGCACUUCGUUCUCAACAAACAGGAAAAGCAACUUUUCAGAUUGGUGUGGGUAAUCUAAGCUUGUGUGUCCACGUUUUCAUCCAGCUGGAGAUGAAUUGGGUACAGUUUGGGGGAUGUCUAUCCAUGGUAAGUGUAAAACCCUAGAAACAAUAGGUUUUGACAAGGACUUUGGGUGCAGAUCUCUUUAGUGUGUUAUCCAGAAAACCAGACUUUAAAGAUGAAGCUUAAAAGGAAUUUUUUAUAAAAAACCCUGUCUCUACAUCUGUUAAAAGGCACAGUGCCCAAGCCUGGGCUAAAGCAAAGUACAGAGCUUCUCAACAGCUUAAGAACUUACAACAUCAGAUAAUUUAGUCCAUCUGGAGGUACAUAAAUACUAGAAAUUGCCAAACUAUUGCUCCUAAUUUGUAGUUCCUUAAAUGUGAAGGUUUGUCACCUGUCAAUGUAAAAAUCAAGGUACUUCUAAUAACAAACAUGAUUCUGAAUAUCUCAAAAUCUUUAAUUAGAGCCACACUGAAAAAAAAAAUUGUGCAUGGUAUAAUAUCCUCUACUAUUUGUGCUACUUUGUUGCAUUAAAUGUUCGCUCCAAGGCCCUGACAUUAUUCCCCACAUCCAUAAAGCAAUGCCACAUAAAAAUAUGAGAUGGUGUCCAAAAAUUUGCUGUGCUGGUACUUCCAUCUUCUCAGCAAUGAAUACUUAGUGCAGUACAUGUCCAUUAGGACAAGGCUUUAAGCGUCACUUAUAAGGAAACACUGAUUUUGCUUCUUAAUCCUCUGACCAGAUUUCAAAGUCAGAUCUAGCAAACAGAAAUUAGAUCACCUGUUAUCUCUUUAUCCUUUUCCUACCACAGCCUAAUGACUUGUUUGCAUUGUUCCCUACUGCUGGGCACCGUCUUGAUUAUUUCAAUGAUUUCUCCACAGUAAUCAACACUUGUUUCCUCAUCAGUGUGCUGGAUGAUUGGUUUCCAUUUCCCAGACUAAUUAUUUUACAUAUUUCUAUACCACACUCUUUACCAUCUGUUGACCCAAUUACCUAAAUGAUCCAAAUCCUCCUCAGUCUGGUUGUAGUUUCUCAUUAUUCCUUACAAAUUCCAUUUCAGUGACAUUUAUAAACCAUGAGGGCUUUUUUUUCAUUCUUUCUCUGUAUCAAUAGAUCUUAAGAUUUUAAUCUAGGGGGUCAGAUCCCACUGGAGAAUAUUCCAAAUCUGAUGCACAGGACACUUAUUGCUUCAAAUGAUAUUAGAGAUUAUACUAAUCAAGUUGGAGAGGGACUAUUAACAAGAGGAUGUGGUGACAGGACAAGGGAGAGUGGCUUCAACUAAAAGAGGGUAAGUUUAGAUUAAAUAUUAGAAAAAAUCCUUUUCUAUG